rnacentral:rRNA from 1 species
ACGGGUGAGUAACACGUAGGUAACCUACCCUUCAGUGGGGGACAACAGAGGGAAACUUCUGCUAAUACCGCAUAAGGCCACGAUCUGGGAUGAUAGUGGGAAAAGGAUUUAUUCGCUGAGGGAUGGGCCUGCGGCCUAUCAGGUAGUUGGUGAGGUAAUGGCUCACCAAGCCUGCGACGGGUAGCCGGACUGAGAGGUCGAUCGGCCACACUGGAACUGAGACACGGUCCAGACUCCUACGGGAGGCAGCAGUGGGGAAUAUUGCACAAUGGGGGAAACCCUGAUGCAGCGACGCCGCGUGGAGGAUGACGGCCUUCGGGUUGUAAACUCCUUUUGCAGGGGACAAUGGUGAUGGUACCCUGCGAAUAAGCCACGGCUAACUCUGUGCCAGCAGCCGCGGUAAGACAGAGGUGGCGAGCGUUGUUCGGAAUUACUGGGCUUAAAGGGCGCGUAGGCGGUGGUUUAAGUCUAGGGUGGAAUGCUACAGCUCAACUGUAGAGCUGCCUUGGAAACUGGAUUACUUGAGUCGGUGAGGGGAAGGUGGAAUUCCAGGU